GACGAACGCUGGCGGCGUGCUUAACACAUGCAAGUCGAACGGUGAACCUCUUCGGAGGGGAUCAGUGGCGAACGGGUGAGUAACACGUGGGCAACCUGCCCCCGUCUCUGGGAUAACUCCAAGAAAUUGGGGCUAAUACCGGAUGUUCACCGCUUCCCGCAUGGGUGGUGGUGGAAAGGGUUUCCGGCUGGGGAUGGGCCCGCGGCCUAUCAGCUUGUUGGUGGGGUAGUGGCCUACCAAGGCGACGACGGGUAGCCGGCCUGAGAGGGUGACCGGCCACACUGGGACUGAGACACGGCCCAGACUCCUACGGGAGGCAGCAGUGGGGAAUAUUGCGCAAUGGGCGGAAGCCUGACGCAGAGACGCCGCGUGGGGGAUGACGGCCUUCGGGUUGUAAACCUCUUUCAGCAGGGACGAAGCGCAAGUGACGGUACCUGCAGAAGAAGCACCGGCCAACUACGUG
rnacentral:rRNA from 1 species